AAAUAUAAAACAUCAAAUUGAUUUCGGCUUCUAUGUGUAUCGUGUGAGGUGAUACAUUACAUGAAGGUAGGAUGGGGAGGCAGAGUGAUGUUCAGAUGCAACAGGUGCACUUUGGUUCCAGUACCGUAUGGAAACAGCACUCCUAAGUUCCUCAGACAGUACCAGGUUCCAAAUUUUGUACAGUAUUUAGCACUCAUUGAGUGAAAGAGACUACAAUUUAUGGUUUAAUAAUAUUCCAGAAGUGUAAUGAGAAUAGGAAGAAACAAAAAGGGUGUUAAGUUGACCAGUGCUGGAAACUUGCAUUUACUUGCAAAGUAGAAAUAUACAUGAUUUAAUCAUUCAAGAAAAUAAUAAUAAACAAAUCUUGCUCAUGACUUUUGCCAGGUAGCUGGUGAUUCCCUUUGUGAAUGAGCAUGAGAAAAGAACAGAACAAAAACAUGUCCUGUGUGUGGUUGUAUGGAUGGGAAGGAGUUGAGUCCAAAGUUCCUGGUUCAUUCCAAAGGACUGAAAUGAGAAAUGAUCUACACUAUCAAGGCACUGUUUGAUAGCUUACCUGCUAUGGAUAUUUUAUUGUAUUUAGUCUCAACUCAGCAUCUGCAGGUCUGAAAAUUCUCUUGGACGUCAGACUUAACCAGCAACCAGAAUACUUCAGAAUCCUGCAUGUGAGCUGACAUGACACAAGCAACAUCAAAAGUGAACCAAUCAACAAAAGGAAUCAGCCAUUACUUGAUAAUCACUGAGUAGUGCUAUGCAAUUCUCAAGUGGCUGUAAUGCACACUCCCUUGCUGUAGAUAAAUAAAAGCAAUCAUAAUUUCCCUGAACAAAAUAGCUGGUUAUCUGGAAGUGCCUGCCUAGAGCUCUAAAAAAGAAGGAAAUGUUCCUUCUUUUGUGCAUUAUGUGUUUUGAACAAAGUUUUGAGGCUUCAAAUACACCAAAAGUCCAGGUGACUAAAUUGCUACCUCAAAACCUAGUCUUCCUUUAUCAUCUCUCCAACUGGAUAUGGAAGUCUAUUUUGAAUAGAGUUUUCCAGAAUUCCAGACUUCCAAUGGGAUUGCAAUCACGUAUCACAUAAUGUUGAAUGUACCAUCUAGAACUUGGCUAUCAUUUCAGAAGUUACUCUUUAAUUACACACCUUUUAUGGUAGUGUGAAAACCUACAUUCACUUCCCUGGUAAAUUUUAAAAGGUUUAAUGUAAGAGCCUGAGAUGAGAGAUGUGGGACACCAUGUGGCUCUUCAAAAUGCUGUUUAUUGUAUAGAUGAUUUUACAACAUUCAUGGUGACAUGGUCACUGGAGCCUUGGCUAGAUCUUGGCACACACCAACACUGUGCUAGGUGUGCAGAACAGCCUCAGAGAUUCAACUCCUGAGGCUGAACCUUGAGAGCCGCUUGCUCUAUGGGAUCAGAUAUCGGGGAUCAGGCGAAGGAAGAGGAGGAGGCUCUUUGUAUGAGGUUCCAGCAAGGUGCAGUUUAUUAAAGCUGAAGGGGUCAGGGAUAAAGAGCCCCUCGCUCCUCUGUGCUGGGGAUUAAAUACAGGGAGGUUUCAAGGGGUGGGUACAAACUCUUAACCAAUCAAGGACAACCAGGGGAGGAGCAUGAGGCAGGGUUUACAGCAUGGGAACCAGUGAGGAAAAGGGGGAGGAGAGGACAGGUCACAUGAGAAAGUGGGGCCUAGAGAUUUAGGGGAUUUCCAAAGGGGUGGGAUUGGCCCAGCUGAGGAUUGACAGGGAAGGGUUGAGAACAAGGGGCAGGGCUCACAAUGAUUGACAGGGAAGGCACUAGAACAAGGGGUUGGGUUAAAAUGAUGGGCAGUGUCAUCUAUAAAACACUUCGAUGGGCUUUUGCAUGUAGGAUUGUUUGUUGUUGUUGUUGUUUAGAAGUUGGUCAUUGUGGAAUUGUACUGGUUGUUUUUUGUGUGUUCCAACUGAAUGCUUGAUUGUCAUAAGCGUUAUCCCUAUUUUUGUGGUCCCUUACUCAUUUAUUUGUUGCUAUUGAUCCAUUAUUUGUAAGUUUAAUAAUCCCUUUUACAUUUGUCACUUUUGAGGGCUUCAAAGCAAAUCCCCUCACCAGCAGCAUGCAGCAUCUUACAAAGAAUUUUUAGCCUCCUCCAGAGGACUUGUAGCUUGACACCAGGGCAACACUGCAUACUAAUGAGGAACUUUCCCACCAAAAACCUCAGUUACCCCAACAACAGCAGACUGUUGGAGGAGAAGGUUUUGCCAGCAACAAUCAACAGAAACUAUAGGGGUGGGACUGCCAGCAACAAGCUGAGGGGACAGAGAUUGUAAAAGGAGGUAUGAGACUAUAAGAACUGCCGUUUAACUGUGGAUUAGCUGCAGCAGAGGACCCAACACUGCAGACUACAGUCUACAUGUCUUUCAGAGAUUUUUUUUAAUAAAAAUCUGAGUGCAGAUUAGCUGCAUUCACUGCAGUGCCACUGAGUUCUUGCAUUGGGACCAAAAUGCUGGUUCAGCCAGAGGAUUCUUCAAUCCUCAGAGCCGGGACUUUUUUUUAUUUCCUUUC